UGGGGAAUCUUGCACAAUGGGGGCAACCCUGAUGCAGCGACGCCGCGUGAGCGAUGAAGCCCUUCGGGGCGUAAAGCUCUUUCGACCGGAACGAUAAUGACGGUACCGGGAGAAGAAGCUGCGGCUAACUACGUGCCAGCAGCCGCGGUAAUACGUAGGCAGCAAGCGUUGUUCGGAGUUACUGGGCGUAAAGAGUGCGUAGGCGGCGAGCCAAGUUUGGUGUGAAAUCUCCCGGCUUAACCGGGAGGGUGCGCCGAAAACUGGUCGGCUGGAGUACGGGAGAGGAAAGCGGAAUUCCUGGUGUAGCGGUGAAAUGCGUAGAUAUCAGGAGGAACACCUGCGGUGUAGACAGCUUUCUGGACCAAAACUGACGCUGAGGCACGAAAGCGUGGGUAGCAAACA
rnacentral:rRNA from 1 species